rnacentral:tRNA from 1 species
GCGCCAAUAGCUCAGCAGGAUAGAGCAACUGCCUUCUAAGCAGUAG